rnacentral:rRNA from 1 species
CCUACGGGUGGCAGCAGUGAGGAAUAUUGGUCAAUGGGCUUACGCCUGAACCAGCCAAGUCGCGUGAGGGAAGACUGCCCUAUGGGUUGUAAACCUCUUUUGCCAGGGAGCAACGCCGGCUACGUGUAGCCGCACUGCGAGUACCCGAAGAAAAAGCAUCGGCUAACUCCGUGCCAGCAGCCGCGGUAAUACGGGGGAUGCGAGCGUUAUCCGGAUUUAUUGGGUUUAAAGGGUGCGUAGGCGGAAUGCCAAGUCAGCGGUAAAAUGGCGGGGCUCAACCUCGCUCCGCCGUUGAAACUGGCGGUCUUGAGUGGGAGAGAAGUAUGAGGAAAGCGUGGUGUAGCGGUGAAAUGCAUAGAUAUCACGGAGAACUCCGAUUGCGAAGGCAGCAUACCGGCGCCCAACUGACGCUGAAGCACGAAAGCGUGGGUAUCGAACAGGAAUAGAUACCCCAGUAGUC